rnacentral:piRNA from 1 species
UGGGAAGUGACUGGUGAGUUAGUUCCCG